AGUGGAUGGGGAGCAACCUAGUUGUGCGUGUGUAAAGGUAGUGCCAAGAAAAGCGGUGAUCAUGAUGAAAAUCAAUUCCCGGUACCCGAAACCGACACAGGUGGGCAAGUAGAGAAUACUAAGGGGCGCGAGGUAACUCUCUCCAAGGAACUCGGCAAAAUGACCCCGUAACUUAGGGAGAAGGGGUGCCACCGAGAGGUGGUCGCAGUGAAGAGGCCCAGGCGACUGUUUAGCAAAAACAUAGGUCUCUGCAAACUCGAAAGAGGAGGUAUAGGGGCUGACGCCUGCCCAGUGCCGGAAGGUUAAAGAAGUUGGUCAGUCUUAGGAUAAAGCUAGCGACUGAAGCCCCGGUGAACGGCGGCCGUAACUAUAACGGUCCUAAGGUAGCGAAAUUCCUUGUCGGGUAAGUUCCGACCCGCACGAAAGGCGUAACGAUCUGGGCGCUGUCUCGGAGAGAGGUUCGGCGAAAUAGGAUUGUCUGUGAAGAUACGGACUACCUGCAUUUGGACAGAAAGACCCUAUGAAGCUUUACUAUAGCUUGGAAUUGUGUUCGGGCUUCCUGUGCGCAGGAUAGGUGGGAGGCGAAGAAGGUAUUCUUGUGGGGAUACUGGAGCCAACGGUGAGAUACCACUCUCAGGAGGCUAGAAUUCUAACUUAAUUAAGGACAGUUUCAGGUGGGUAGUUUGACUGGGGCGGUCGCCUCCAAAAAGGUAACGGAGGCGUACAAAGGUUCCCUCAGACUGGUUGGAAAUCAGUCGCAGAGUGCAAAGGCAGAAGGGAGCUUGACUGCGAGAAGUACAGUUCGAGCAGGGUGGAAACACGGUCUUAGUGAUCCGACGGUGCUGUGUGGAAGGGCCGUCGCUCAACGGAUAAAAGUUACUCUAGGAUAACAGGCUGAUCUCCCCCAAGAGUUCACAUCGACGGGGAGGUUUGGCACCUCGAUGUCGGCUCAUCGCAACCUGGGGCGGAAGUACGUCCCAAGGGUUGGGCUGUUCGCCCAUUAAAGCGGUACGUGAGCUGGGUUCAGAACGUCGUGAGACAGUUCGGUCCAUAUCCGAUGUAGGCGUGAGAAUAUUGAGAGGAGCCUUCCUUAGUACGAGAGGACCGGGAAGGACGCACCGCUGGUGUACCUGUUAUGAUGCCAAUUGUAAACGCAGGGUAGCCAAGUGCGGAGAGGAUAACCGCUGAAAGCAUCUAAGUGGGAAGCCCACCUCAAGAUGAGUAUUCUGGUGUAAGGUCACGGGAAGACGACCCGUAAAUAGGCACGAGGUGGAAGUGCAGAGAUGUAUGAAGCCGAAGUGUACUAAUAGACCGUCGGCUUGAUC
rnacentral:rRNA from 1 species